rnacentral:rRNA from 1 species
GACGAACGCUGGCGGCGUGCUUAACACAUGCAAGUCGAACGGAGAGGCGAGCGGGUGAGUAACACGUGGGUGAGAUGCCCCGUACUUCGGGGUAAGAACGGGUAACAGGGUGUAAUACCGGAUAGUGUGGGAUGGGACGGCGGCCGAUCAGCUUGUUGGUGGGGUAGGGGCCUCCCAACGCGGCGACGGGUUGUCGGCCUGAGAGGGUGGACGGCCACAGUGCGACUGAGACACGGGCCAGACUCCUAUGUGAGGCAGCAGUGGGGAAUAUUGCACAAUGGUCGGAAGUCUGAUGCAGCGACGUCGCGUGGGGGAUGAAGUUCUUCGGGUUGUAAACUCCUUUCUCCAUCGACGCGGUACAUGGAGAAGAAGCACCGGCUAACUACGUGCCAGCAGCCGCGGUAAUUC